rnacentral:rRNA from 1 species
GACGAACGCUGGCGGCGUGCUUAACACAUGCAAGUCGAACGAGGCUCCUUCUUCGGUUGGGGUUCUAGUGGCGAACGGGUGAGUAACACGUGAGUAAUCUGCCCUUCACUUCGGGAUAACCGCCGGAAACGGUGGCUAAUACCGGAUACGACGCGCUCUCGCAUGAGAUGUGCGUGGAAAGUCUUCUCGGUGGAGGAUGUGCUCGCGGCCUAUCAGCUAGUUGGUGAGGUAACGGCUCACCAAGGCUUCGACGGGUAGCCGGCCUGAGAGGGUGACCGGCCACACUGGGACUGAGACACGGCCCAGACUCCUACGGGAGGCAGCAGUGGGGAAUAUUGGACAAUGGGCGAAAGCCUGAUCCAGCAACGCCGCGUGAGGGAUGACGGCCUGG